CAGCCUGAGCGGGGGGGUACCUGUAACUUUCUUCUGCCGCCGUCUUUGCGGGUUUUCCGUCUCAUACGCGCAACACUGUAGCCGGAGAGGCGCGCGCUCGAGGAGCCCCGCAUCGUGCAGAUACGCGCAGCGCUCCAACUCGAGACCACCCACGACCCCUGCCUCGGAGGAGCCGCAGGAGCUCACCGCGUGGACUCAAGACACCCGCAGGGGGAGCGGUUUGAUUUCCCCACCGCCGGCCACCGGACCAACUGGGAUUGUAACACCCCGCCCCGCUGGGAUUUCUGCCAUGUCAGGUGCACGGGACUGCAGAUGGGCCGUCCUCGUCUCUGUGGCGGCGCUUUCGUGUGUCACCGGUGGAAGGUUGGACACCCUCGAUGACCUCAUCGCGCUGACUGGGUCACCGCUUCAUCUGAAACACCGUCGUGCUGUGGAUACGCUCACCGGACGCCCAAAACAAAGCAGCCAUCUCCUCAGUGGAGUUUCCCCGCUUACUUUCCCUACCUGACUCGCAUCACCGCCAUCGUCCCGGUUAGCUUCAAGCACGCCGCCCGGUGAUUGCACCAAUCCAAUCAGAUAGAUCAGGUGUGCCAGCUGUCACGCCGAGACACUUGGCUGUAGCGGCGGAGAGGAGCAGGCUGUGUAACAGCCGGAGAGCAGCCAUGCAGAGCGGAUGUGUCCUCUUAAAUAAUCCAUUAAGACGCUUCUUCUUCUAUUUUUUACCGUAGCGGCCUCGUUGGAUGCAGCCACAUUAAACCGGUACAGCAAAAGGUUUUUGUCAGGAUGUUUCCUUUAUUUAUUUAUUUAUUUUUUACCCUAGCUGUUACUUUUUGCUCCUGCACCAGCAAACAACUUGCCCUCAUGGAAUGAGAAGUGGCAGAUUUUGGAGCCGUCCAGUCGCCCACGAAGACGCUGCCCAAAACAGCAGUGUCACUAGUUCUGCUUUUAGACCCUUUUUCCAGCCAACGUCAUCGAAAGAGUUUGUGUCGGCGGCGGAAGCGUCGUUUGGCCCGGACGAGUUAGGGGUCUUUAAACAUUAAACCCGAGCGCUUACCAGCAUCAACCAGUGACGAUAUUUCAACAUCGUCGUCAUUAUUCAAACGCGAUCAUGGCCGCGUAAGAGCGGCAGAUGUUGAAAGUCGUGGUAGCUGGUGACUUUCAGCCGAACGCGUCAUCGAGCCGGGGAGGAGGGCCUUUUACAGCUGUGGUAGCAGGCCGUCAAUCAUCGUGUACCUCCGCCAUAACGCACACCCUUCUUUAUGGAAUAUUUGACCCCAAAUGGACAAUAGUGUACAUAGUUGACAUCAUGCUGAAGAAGACUUGAAACCAGAGAUUGGGACCAUAAACUCUUGUUUACAGUGUUUACUGAGGGAAUAAAUCAGGAGAGCAGUAGUCAUUUUCUCAUAGACGUCCAUGGGACCAGAGGAGUCGCCCCCCUGGUGGACGUCACAGGGAUUGCAGCAGUAUUGUGCCUCUGAAAAGCUGAAGCACUGCGCCUCUCUUCUACAGCACCAACUUGCAUUGUUUGCAACUUGUAUGAAGGAUCUAUUGUAGCGUGUCCUCAAAUGAGAGGCCGGCACGCCGGAUGAAAGCCUCGAUCAGCGCCCCGCCUCAAGCCAACUCCAUUGUGAUUCUCAAGAAAAGGGGAAUUUGAUACAAAGACAAUAUGGACCCGCGUUUGAAGAGGUUCACAGGUACCUUUGUCUUCAGAUGCUGCACAACAGCCUUUCUCUGGACGCUAAUGAAGUGUGUCAUUACAGCCCCUUUAAUGCCGACUGUUGACAUUCUUCUUACGCUGACGAUGAAUGAAAGCUCUUGUUGCACCACACGGAGAUGGAAAUAGUCACUAGGCAGCAUCUCCCAACGCCUGCAUGUGUAACUUGUAAAGAUGAAAUAAAACUGCAGUAUUUGUAGGCUAUGGGUCCGUCUUCAUGCGCUAAUGGCCACAUAGGAAGAACACAUGGAAUAAUCGAGCCUUGAGGUAGGUUUUGUAGACGGUCAUGUACUGUAACUCAAGCCUCUUAGGUCUUCUUCCUGGGUGGAAAUUGAAGAUGGCCACAGGCAGUGACCGCACGCACACCUUUUCUCCUCCACGUGCGUUCAGAUGCAACGUUAAGGUUUCUCUUUCCUCGCGCGGCUCAGCCUUGGAUGACACACUUUCUCUCCGCGUCAGGCCGUUU
ensembl:lncRNA